rnacentral:lncRNA from 1 species
UCUGCCUUCUGAGUGCUGGGAUUAAUAUGUGCACUAACAUGCCCAGCCAUUUCAAAGACGAGAGCUAAUCACCAAACUAUCCCUUUGCUCUCAAAUUUUUGAUAAAUCAGGAACUUAUGAUUGCUAACUCAGUAGUUUCUAUGUCACAUACUAAAUUUCUUUUUUUUUUCUUUUUGAUCUACUAUUUUUUUUUGAGAAAAAUACAUUUAUUUUAUGUGUGUGUGCAUGUGCACAUCAUGGUACACAUGUACGAGAAUAGAUUGUCCUUUCCACAGUGUAAGUCCUAGGGAUCAAACUAGGUCAUCUUCAGCCCUGAUCUUUGUAUCCUCAGAAACUACCUCUUAAAAAUUUUACAUAUAAGCAUGUUUUUAACCUCUAUUAUACCAAUAGUGACAGAAGAAAGUUUCUAGUUGUAAAUUGUCUUUAAUGAAUCCAUUUUGACCAGAGCUGGCUGUACAAUUGUAUUAGUGGAACCACUUCUCUUUUCCAUCUAUUUACAGAACGUUUGUCUUUUGACUCUAAGGCUCAUAGAUUUUUAAAUGUUAUUAUAUACAGUGUACAUUUAAAGGAGUUGCUUUCUUGACCUUGAAAUUCUCUGUAACUUGCUCUUACUCUUGCCUCUCUCUUGCCUCUCGCUCCCUUGCUCUUCCUUUAUCCCCAUACCCUUCCCCCUCUCUCUCCACGUGGUCAUGGCUGGCCUCUACUUCUCUACUCUCUCCCUCGCUCUGCCUUUUUCUGCCUCUGCUACUCUCUUAACUCCCCUCCCAUGCCCUGAACUAUUCUGUACU